ACGUUAGCGGCGGACGGGUGAGUAACACGUGGGUAACCUACCUAUAAGACUGGGAUAACUUCGGGAAACCGGAGCUAAUACCGGAUAAUAUUUCGAACCGCAUGGUUCGAUAGUGAAAGAUGGUUUUGCUAUCACUUAUAGAUGGACCCGCGCCGUAUUAGCUAGUUGGUAAGGUAACGGCUUACCAAGGCGACGAUACGUAGCCGACCUGAGAGGGUGAUCGGCCACACUGGAACUGAGACACGGUCCAGACUCCUACGGGAGGCAGCAG
rnacentral:rRNA from 1 species